CCAGCUGUAUAAAGAGUGAGAUGAUGAGUUUGGGCACUCCUUGCGCAUCUAUGUGCCCAGCCCUCAAAAUAAUGGAACAACAACAAAAACCGUGCCUGGAUUAGUUUACGUUUUACUUGAGGGAAACCUAAAAUGAGCAUACAAAUAAAUUAUGGUAAAGUUACUGAUGGAACUGAAGGGAGGACAUGAAAGAGUCAAGGAUGACUCCAAGACUUUCGACCUGAGUGAUUCAAAGGAUGGAGUUACCAUCAGGUGAAAUGCGGGAAAGUUCAGAUGGAACAAAUCUGAGAGGUAAGAUCAAGAUUUCAGUUUUGGAAAUGUUAAGUUUGAGAUACUUUUUAGUGAUCUGAUUGGUGGUGUCAACUAGUCAGUUGGGAUGUAUGAUUCUGCAGCAGGACAGAGAGGUGUGGGCUAAAGAUCAAACUUUGGAAGUAAUUGGCACAUAGGUAGUAUUUCAAACCAUUAGAAUGAGUGUAGAUAGAAAACUGAAAAAAGAAGAUCAAGGACUGAACCCUGGAGGAGUCCUGCAUGAAGAGAUGGAAAGAAAAGGAGGACCCAGCAAAGGAGAAGGAGAAGAGAAAAUCAAGAGAGUAGAAUGUCAUGGAAACAUUAAAAAAUUACUACUAAUUUUAUCAGGGAAGUCUGGAAGUGCUGGUAAAUUGUCAAGCUAACAGUGAUGGAUACAGCUUUUCUUACUUAAUCCCUAGGUUGCAUAGAGAUUUUCACUUGAAUAAGGGCUUUCUUGGCUCCAGGUCACUGAUAGUGGUUCUCUGCAAUGCAGGAUGUGGAGAUUUGGAAUGAGAUUUAACAGAUCCCUGAUCUAACUGGAAGAAAGCUGAGCUCUGGGCCAUAUGGAUCCUUUAAAAGAGACAGAUGCAUGAAGUUUGGAGCAGUGAAGAUCUCAAUCCAGGCAUUGAAUGGCAUUGGAAAAGAACAGUGCUGUAGAAGUCAGAAGAUUGUCUCUACCAGUAAAUGCUGGCUGGCUCCCCUUCACCUUCUACUAUGAGUGGAAACAAGCUGAAGCCCUCACCAGAAAGAGACACCAUCACCAUGCUUCUUGUACAACCUGCAGAACCCUUAGCUAAUUUAUUUCUCUGCUACAGAAACUUGGAACUUUGCUGUACAGAGAAGACUGAGGGGACUGCUUGAGAAGAUAACCAAAGACGGGAAUCGAGAUUUGGACCUACCUCUUACCACUAUCCUCAUGAUGGAGAGGCAAAGGAUUUGCUCUGUACCUGACUGCAUU
rnacentral:lncRNA from 1 species